rnacentral:rRNA from 1 species
CGGAGUGAAAGGCUAAUCAAACUCAGAGAUAUCUGGUUCUCCCCGAAAUAUAUUUAGGUAUAGCGUCACGCGUUCAACGUUGGCUGUAGAGCACUGCUUGGGCUAGGGGGCCUACCAGCUUACCGACCUCAGGCAAACUCCGAAUACCGACGUUCUAGAGCGUGGCAGUCAGAGUGCGAGGGAUAAGCUUCGUGCUCAAAAGGGAAACAGCCCAGACCGUCGGCUAAGGCCCCUAAUUCCUGGCUAAGUGGGAAACGAUGUCUGAGUGCCGAGACAACCAGGAUGUUGGCUUAGAAGCAGCCACCAUUUAAAGAGUGCGUAACAGCUCACUGGUCGAGCACGAUGGUGCCGAAAAUGAAAGGGGCUCAAGCAUGCUACCGAAGCUGUGGCUGUGCAGAACUCUGCGGAGUUGUGCACGGGGUAGGGGAGCGUCGUGCCCCGGUUGAAGGUGGACCGUCAGGACCACUGGACAGGGCACGAGUGAUUAUGCUGGGAUGAGUAACGAUAAGGCAGGUGAGAAUCCUGCCCACCGUAAGCGUACGGUUUCCUCCGGAAGGUCAUUCCGCGGAGGGUUAGGCAGCCCCUAAGUCGAGGCCGAAAGGCGUAGACGAUGGAGAGCCGGUUCAUAUUCCGGCCCCGUCUCAGAGGUGCCCACGGAGAACGCAUCAGACUACCACGGUGGAUCCAGAAGCUGGACCACGGGCACGUCCGGGCUGCCGCCAUGAAAGUGGCGGCGCACCCUUGGCGUGUCCCAAGAGCCUUGAGCUGUAUAGGCGUGCGAUGUCACGGUGCCGAGAAAAGCCCGUCGGGAGAUAACGUCUGAGAUGACUGUACUACAAACCGACACAGGUACGCGAGGCGAGUAGCCUCAGGUGCUCGAGAGAACUCUGGUUAAGGAACUCGGCAAAUUCACUCCGUACGUUCGCAAGAAGGAGUGCCGAUCGAUCAUCGCAAGAUGGUUUGUCGGCCGCAGUGAAGAGGCCCAACCGACUGUUUACUAAAAACACAGUUCUGUGCAAACUCGUAAGAGGACGUAUACGGAAUGAUGCCUGCCCGGUGCUGGAAGGUCAAGUGGAGGGGUCAGUCGCAAGACGAAGCUCUGAAAUCAAGCCCCAGUAAACGGCGGCCGUAACUAUGACGGUCCUAAGGUAGCGAAAUUCCUUGUCGGGUAAGUUCCGACCUGCAUGAAAGGCAUAACGAGUUGGGCACUGUCUCAACCAGAGACUCGGUGAAAUUGCAGUAUGGGCGAAGAUACCCAUUACCCGCAGCAGGACGAAAAGACCCCGUGAACCUUUACUGUAGUCUUAUCCUGUGUUUCUGUGCUUCAUGUGUAGCAUAGGUGGGAGGUGUUGAUCCCUGGGCGCCAGUUCAGGGGGAGCCAUUCGUGAAAUACCACUCUUGACGCACGGGAAUUCUAACCGGUGGUUUGAACCCACUGGAACACGGUAAGAUGGGCAGUUUGGCUGGGGCGGCUUCCUCCCAAAGCGUAACGGAGGAGCACAAAGGUCGGCUCAGUACGGUUGGCAAUCGUACGUUGAGUGCAAGCGCACAAGCCGGCUUGACUGCGAGACGUAUAGGUCGAGCAGAGCGGAAACGCGGUGCUAGUGAUCCGGUGGUACCUCGUGGAAGGGCCAUCGCUCAACAGAUAAAAGGUACUCCGGGGAUAACAGGCUGAUCUCCCCCAAGAGUCCACAUCGACGGGGAGGUUUGGCACCUCGAUGUCGGCUCAUCGCAUCCCGGGGCUGGAGCAGGUCCCAAGGGUUCGGCUGUUCGCCGAUUAAAGCGGUACGUGAGCUGGGUUUAGAACGUCGUGAGACAGUUCGGUCCCUAUCUGCCGUGGGUGUAGGAGAAUUGAGAGGAUUUGUCCCUAGUACGAGAGGACCGGGAUGAACACACCUCCGGUGGACCUGUUAUCGCGCCAGCGGUACAGCAGGGUAGCUAUGUGUGGACGGGAUAACCGCUGAAAGCAUCUAAGCGUGAAACCCACCUCAAGAUGAGAUCUCCCUGGACGCAAGUCCCUAAAGGCUCGAAGUAGACUACUUCGUCGAUAGGUCGGGUGUGCAAGCGUGGCAACACGUUCAGCUAACCGAUACUAAUCAGCCGUGAGGCUUGACC